rfam:Scleropages formosus scaffold18817, whole genome shotgun sequence.
GCUUGGAUAGUUCAGUUGAUAAAGUGUCAGACUUUUAAUCUGGGAGUCCAGGGUUCAAGUCCCUGUUUAGGCA